rnacentral:rRNA from 1 species
GAUUUCUGGUCUAGUAUCACUUGACCCGUCAUGGUCACAUGAUUGUGUGUCGAUGUGUACUUACCAUCCUUCUAGAACAUUUUUUAUCAUUCUUUAUUGAAUGUAUGAAAAAUUGUACUAGAUCUUUUACUUUGAAAAAAUUAGAGUGUUUAAAGCAGGCUUUUGCUAUGAAUACAUUAGCAUGGAAUAAUAAUCUAGGACUUCGGUUCUAUUUUGUUGGUUUCUAUAACUGAAGUAAUGAUUGAUAGGGAUAGUUGGGGGUGCUAGUAUUGGCCGGCCAGAGGUGAAAUUCUUGGAUUCGGUCAAGACUAACUUAUGCGAAAGCAUU